CGGGGUGAGUAAUGUAUGGGGAUCUGCCUGAUGGCGGGGGAUAACUACUGGAAACGGUAGCUAAUACCGCAUAAUGUCUGCGGACCAAAGCGGGGGACCUCCGGGCCUCGCGCCAUCAGAUGAACCCAUAUGGGAUUAGCUUGUAGGUAAGGUAACGGCUUACCUAGGCGACGAUCCCUAGCUGGUCUGAGAGGAUGAUCAGCCACACUGGAACUGAGACACGGUCCAG
rnacentral:rRNA from 1 species